AAGAAGAUGCAUUUUGGAGCAUUUUGGAGCAUUUUUGGGCCAAGAUUGGAUGGUGCAAACAUGGAGACAUGAGGAUGGACGAAUUUGAUGAUUCAAAGGGCUAGAAAUCUGCAUGUGUGUGUGCAAAGUGUUGGCCUACAACUUCAAACAUCAUAGCUACCAUGUGAUGGCAGAAAAUGUGUUUAUUGCUAGCUAAAUGGAUGAAGAACAUGUUUGUGCAAGUAUAAACACCACAUGGGCAGCAAGAAGGAAAGAAAACAGCAACACACACACACACAUGGGCAGCAAGGAAUCAGAAAUUAAAGCAUGGAAGAGUGGGAAGUGAUGAGGACAACACAAACACACACACACAUGCACACUCACGGCAAGAAGAAUGGAAUCAGCAAAGGGGAGUGAAUGGACAGCAGAAAAAGCAAAGAAAUUUGACCACUAUGAAGUGGAUUUCUUGUUAGUCUCCCACUUAUAGCUUUGGGUGGCUUUGGCAUGAUUAUUUCUAGGUGGAAAGAGCACAAAAACAGCACACACACAUGCAAAACAAAGCUGGCAGCAUCCUUUCUUCCCUUUGCCGUGAGAUUCUUGUGUCCAUUACCUUGCAAUUCUUUUCAUUUCCAACCUCUAUAUAAGCACCAUUCAGCUUUCAAGGAAGACACACAGAAAUUCAUACACAUUUCCAUUAGUUCCAAGGCUUGCAAAGAAGGAGAAGUGCUUGGAGUUGUGCUAGCCAUUCCAUUGGAGUUGUUGGAGCAUUCUAGGUGUAUUCUACUUUGUUUUUCUAUGUUUAAUAUCAAUUGUUUUUGCUUAAUUGCAAGUGUGAGGAACUAAUCCCCUACUUAGCUAGGGGGAAGUUCAAAGCCAUGAAUAUAUUUGUAAUAUGAAUUGAUUACCUUCAGUUGUGAUUUAAUUUGCUUAACUGCUUGAUUGAUAACUAAUUUGUGUAUGUUGGUUGAGAGUGCACGCUUAAUUUUCAUGCAUGAAUUUGAUGCUAGAAUAUAAGGGAGUUUCACCUAAUCGUUAUGAACUUAUAUUCACAAGUAGUGAAGGUUGUUAUCCACAAUCGUGUUAAGUGAAUUCUAGGCUGGAUUAACAUGCGUAUUCCAUAGUUAUGAAUGCCUAGUCAAUGUUUAUGAUUUCCGUUGAACUUAAUGAUCUUUGUUGAAUGUCUCUAUCAUGCGUAUUCCAUAGUUAGGGAUUUUGAUGAGGAAUAAUUUGGUUGUAAUGCGUAUUCCAUUCAAUCCAAUGAAUCUAGGGAAAUCUAAGAGUUAAUUUAAGCGGACCUAAUUAACUUGGAACAUUGAGAUUUACAAUUUAUUGAAAGAACAACUGAAAAUCAAUUUAGGUUGCAUAUGUGUCAUGUGUGGAGAAGAACCCUCUAGCUAGUCCGUCACCUAUCGUUUCACCUUAAUUUCAUGCUUUUGUCAAUUCUGUAAUUUAUUUAAGUUUAAUUUACUUCUCGUCAAAACCAAACCCCCCCCAUUAUUAAAUUAUAUUAUUUAGUUAGUUUUCAUUGUUGUUAGUCUUUUAAUUCAAUUUUCGUCCAUUUCAGUUCCUAGUGUCUAAUUUGAUUGUUUUCAUUAUUUUGAGUCAUUCUAAGUGUGUUUCGAGUUAUUAGAGUUUUUAGCCUAGUUUUGUGUCCUUGAGUCUUGUUUAAUAUUUUAAAUUAAUUUAGAAUAGAUUAGCAAUCCCUCCUAAUCCCCGGCCUAGAACGAUACCCUACUUACAUCUAUACUACAAUUGUCAAAAAAAGGGUUUAAUUUGUGUGUCAAGUAAUUCUCGCACCAAAUUUUGGCGCCGUUGCCGGGGAUUAGCAACUUUGCUAAUCCCCCAUUGUUUCUUUUUAAUUCUUUUUCGUGUCUUUUGUUUUAGUUACUGACUUUGUUUCUUUUCUUGUCUUUUGUUUUUAGUUUCUGUUUUUGUUUUGUUUUGUUUAUUUUACUUUUGAUAUUUGAUUUAGUUUUCUUUCUUUGAUUUUAGGUACUAGAGAAGUAAGACAUGGAUUUUGCUAGCAUUCAAGCUCAAUUGGCAAAUCUUACUUCUCAAAUGUCGCAAUAUGCCGAAAGGACCACAAUGCAAAAUGUCCCUAUAUUUGGUGCAUCUUAUAGGCAAGGAUAUCAAGCCAAUCAAUGUUCACAAAAAGAUUGGAGUGAUCAUUCAAACUCUAUGUGGUGGGAAGCUCAACAAGUUCAACAUGAAGGAUAUUGGCAGCCAUAUGAGGAGUUCUAUUCAGGACCUAUGCAGCCACCACAACCUCAUAUACAAUAUGCCCAAUCAAACUCAGAUUCAUCAAUAGAUUACAAUCAAAUUUUUGAUGAAUUAAAUUCUUUGGUGCAAGGUUCAUAAAAUCAAGCCAAGGAGGCUCAACAAGAUGGAUAUUGGCAGCAAUCUGAGGAGUUUUAUUUAACGCCUAUGCAACCACCACCGCAUACCCCACAACAAUUCCAAUCAAAUUCAAGUAUGUCCAUGGAGAGUGAUCAAAUUCUUCAAGUACUAACCUCUUUGACGCAGGACCAACAAAAUCAAGACAAGAAGUUGGAUAAAUUGAAGAGUCAAAUGGGAGAGAUUAUGGAAUUCAUGGUACAAAUUCAAGAGCAAAGUGAACUCUCCAGCUCAACAAUUGAAAAUUCGAAGGAAGAUUUUGAAAUCCACGAUGCUAUGACUUUGGAAGGUGACAUGAAGGAUGAAGCUGUCCCAGAACCAUCCAAACACAUCCCGAACAUGGAUGAAUUGCUGCUGCAAGCAGAAGAGGAGGAGGACGACCUGGGCAGUUUAGAAGAAUUUUUGCUGCAAGCUCCUUAAAUCCCUAUGUCAUCCAACUCAGGUGAGGAAGUUCUAAAUCCACUUCAUUCUAACAUUAUUCCACCAAAUGUCCUUUGUCCUUGCAGGUUUUUGAUUCCAAAUAUCAAAGAGAGUGAAAAAGACAUUGUGGAAGCUCUUCCAAAGGUGCAAAGUGAUAUCCCAAUUCUUGUUGCACCAAAACAAGUUCCCGAUGGUAUUGAAACGUUCAAAGAACCUUGCACACCAAGAAAAGGGAUUCAAGAGAAUGAAGUGGUUGAAGCAUAUCAAGAAUACAUCCAAGAGGCUGUGCAUGAGACAAUCAAGCCCAAAGCAGUUGAGUUUGAUGACACGGGACAAGCCACAACCAUCAUAGUAAACCUGGCCAAGUUCAAAGUCCCUGAAAUGUUCACAAAUGUGGUGUUUGUCAUUGAGUUUGUGUUGGAAAAAGAAAGUAAGCCAUCUUCUCCAAUUUCAAUUUUAAUUUAUACUAACAUGUUUCUGAUUUUGAUGAUUCAGGCACCCACUCUUGAAUUUAAACCAUUGCCGAAUCAUUUCAAGUAUCACCUCCCAUUAAAAGAUAAAUUCCAUGCUUUGGAGCCGAGGGGAAUUUAAAGGAAAGAUUCGUCCGGCUAAAGACGUUAAAUCAAGAGCUUCUUGGGAGGCAAGGCAGCAACUUCCAAGCAUUCAACGAAGGGAGACUUUGGAAUCGCUAACCCUAUCAGAUUUGCAUUCUUACACCCUUAUCUUUACUGCUUUCAUUUUGUUUUGUUUAGUUAGUUGUGUUAUUUGGUUGAUUUCUGUGAGUUUGUGUUAUUUAGUUUAAGUGUGGGGGAGGGUUAACCAAAGUCUUUUUACAUUAAUUUACAUUUAAAACAAAAAAAAAAAAAAAAAAAAGCACUUAAAAAAAAAAAAAAAAAAAAAAAAACAUAAAAGUAAAAAUAUUUUACAAUGAUGUGUAAACUAAUAGCAUUCAUUGGUCAGGUGGUGCUUCAGUAGUCGGCGGUGCUUCAACAGUCGGCGGGGCCACAGAAGGAGGAGGCAACAGAGGUUGAUCAGUUGGAGCUUCACUACGCGAUGCUGCUCCAGAAGACGAAGUCAGAUGCUGUUGGAACAAACCCACAAACCUCCGAUGAUCAAGUAAAAUCUGACCAUCAGAUUCAUGUAUCUGGUCAAUUUUCCUCUUCAUGGUUGUGGCAUAGUUGUGUGCAAGCUUAUGCAAUUUUUUAUUUUCAUGCUUGAGUCCUCUAAUCUCCUCUUUGAGACUCUGUAUUUCAGCCACCAACGAUUCAACGUGACGGGUUCGAGCAUAUAGGCGUUGGGCCAUGUUGGACACAGAACCCGCACACUGCACGCUAAGAGCUAGAGACUCCUUAACCGCCAAUUCAUCAGAUCGUCUAGCGAGCAGUCUGUUAUCUCUGGGGGUGACAAGGUUCCGGGCCACCACCGCAGCGGUCAUGUCAUUUUUCAUCACCGAAUCCCCAACGGUAAGAGGACCAGUAGGGGAUAUGAAAGAUGGGCGCCAUAUGUUGUCUGGAGAUGGAGGAGCUGCCUCUUCACCAAGGUUCAAGUCAAAACGACGAUCGGAAGGGCCAUACAUUUUUCAGAGGUGGUGAAGAAAGAAGAGAGUCGGACUGAUCAAGAUUAAACAAGUGCAAGAAGGGAGGGUUUACAGGAGGGAGCUCAAGUGUGUUGUGGAACAAAAUUAACGCCUCUAUAAAAAGAAGAAAUCAAAGAGGCGCUCCUCAGAAAUCGAUGAAGCGUCCUCUCGCAAAUCGAAGAGUCGGGGCUCCUUUCUCAAACGCCUGAUUCUUUUCUCAAAAGAGGAGUUUCCUUUCUCAAAAGCCGGAUUCUUUUCUCAAAAGAGGCGUUUCAUUUCUCAAAAAAUGGGCUUGCUCGGAAACCACGAACCGAACCCCGGAUUUCAAAAAAAUCAAUUUGUCCAGACGUGUCGUCACUCGUCACAUGCAACGUGCAGCUUUGCGGAAAUUACGGGCAGCUUUGUCAGAAAGCGCGUAAUUUGUACUAUUCAUCCAUCCACCGGCUGCCGACAAUGAAUGAAAGAAUAGUUCCGGUUGUGAAGAAAAGCCCUAUAAGUAUCUACCUUCGCCUUCCACAGCAAAGGCACACCCUCUCAGUACUUCUUCAUCUCUCUGAAAUGGCUUUCCAACAAACCCUCUCGAGUCACUCUGUAUUUUUCAUCCCCUGGGAUACCCCUGCAAACAACCCAUCCAAAGCAAAAGUAUUUCAUAUCAUGAAGGUUGAAAGCAAGAGUAUCUCAUAUCAUGCUUUCUCCCUGUCCUUUCUCUAGCCAGCCCUUGCUCUCGAGUACUCAUCAUCUUAUGCUUUCGCUUUGUUUCUCACUUAUAAGGGAAGUGAAGAUGAUACCUCGAAGCAUGUGGAGACAACGUGCUGAUUCAUCCUCAACUAAGGACAGGGAGAAAGAGAGCAAGAGGUGGGCACUUGGAAAGAUUGAAGAAAGAAACAGACCAACACCUCUCCCUUGUGCCUGCCCGUCGUGCAGAAGAAACAAGCAGAGAAGAAUGCAGCUUGCACAAUCAUCCCAGCAGAAGGAGUCUGAGAUGAAGAACUAGAGAAGCUGCCACAUCUGCUUGGAGAACAAAUAAGGAACUGCAACAUCACCAAAGAGCAAAGCUUCGCCGUACAAUAUCAUCAAAUCAUCACUUGCAAGUAAAAAGCUAAGUGUCACCCGUUCAAGAGGAAAGCUGUGGAAAGUCAACAAGCACGACCAAUGAUCACUUAUUAGUUCUAUUCAUUGUCUUUUAUCGUGAUUUUCAAUUUUUCGUUUGCAAUUUUUUUUACAUUUUCUUGCGUUACUUAAUUGAAUUAUUUCUUUUCUUUGCAGGAAUUUUUGGUUAUUUCCACCCUUGAAGUUGAUUGCAGAAUUUUAGCUUGGGGGGGUCAUCGCUUGGUUUUACUGCAAACUAGAGAAGUUUCCAUUCCAAUUGCUUUAUUUUGUUUUUUAUUAUUUAUUUAUUUUAUUUUUAUUUGCAUUAUAGUGUUUUCUGACAUUGGGGACAAUGUCCAGUUUAAGUUUGGGGGUAAAGAAGUAUAAAAAAAUUACCAAAUUGAAAUUUUUUGUACCUUCAACUACGAACGAGUUUCAUUUGUUUCCGUGUUGUUGCUUUUUGUUUUCUUAAUUAGUUUUGUUUUCUUUUAAAAAAAAAAAAAAAACGGAAAAUUUAAAAAUCCAAAAAUAUGGUCUUGUUUCCCUUAUUGUUUUGAAUUAGAUUUUUGUUAGUUUCCCGACCCAAUGAUAUAAUUGGAUCAAAUUUGAACCAUGAUCAUCAAGAACUUAGUUAACAUGUGUUUUGUGAAAUUCCUAAUUCUCUUGUUAGUUUUGUACAUGUUUGAUCAUCUUUGAAAAACCAAAUGCGCAUAGCCUUGUUAAUGUGAAACUAAAGUAUGACUUAAAGCUUCAUAUGUGAAUUUAGUGACCAUAUACAUCCUAUGUGAGUUUUUGAGCCGAUUGAAAGUGUGUGCAUUUUUCAUACACUCCUAUUCUUUCAUGUGUGAUGAACUUAUGUGAGAUACAUCUCUAGAACUUGCGUAACGAUCUUUCAAAAUGUUUGUCAUUGAUUGCAUGAAUUUGGAAAUGAUAGAGGCAUUAGGUUUACCACUAUGGCCCAAAUAACCAUGUUUCCCAAAGAAAAAUGAUAUCAUUAGAUUGCCAAUUUGAGCCGUGUAUGUUGAGCCUUUUAUUUCUUAUCACCAGAUAUGUCUACCCUUAUACCUGAAACAUUUUUCCUUACCCUUUCCAAGCAAGCUAGUGAGCAAUGUGAGAUUGUCUUAUGAGAAAUGUUUGUGAAGUACUUUGAAGGUGUUUGGCAAAAGAAUAAGUGUGGGGGUAUUUCAUGUUUGUAUAUAAAAAAUAAAAAAUAAAAAAAAUAAAAAAAUAAAAAGAAGAAAAAAAAGAAAAGAAAAAGAAGGAUUGUAUACAAAGAAAAUAAAAAGUUUUUAAAGUUUCAGUUUAAGGGUGUGGUUGGAGGUGCUAGAAGAAUCGCUGGAAAGAUUGAGUUCUUAUAAAUCUAAACAAAAGAAUUGCUUGCAAUGUAGCUUGGAACUUGUGUUUUCCUAUUCUUUCGUUUCAAUAACCCUAUCCCUAAGCCUCAUUACAUCCAAUAAAAGUCCUCUUGAUUUAAGUUUUGCAAUUAUGACUGUGGAGAAGUGAUCUUUAUGCAAGCUUAUGGUAGAAAUUUCACAUUUGAUUCUUUGAGCGAAACACAUUUAAACUAAACACAUGUGUGAUUGAGUGUAUAUCCCGUGAGAAGGUUGCUAGUUUGCAUAUGAUGAUUUUAAAAAAAUAAAUAAAAAAUUUUUUGAAAUUGCAUUAGCAUGGCUAUCUCACACACUACACUUCAAGGAUGAUUCAAAGAUUACUGCUAAUAUUUGAACAAGGAAGAUGAACUUGGAUUAGUUUGUUUGGUGCUAGCUAUGGUUCUUAAUGAUUUGUUUUCUUGAAUGAAAUUCUAUGAGGGUCACAUAGGGGGAAACUAAUGUUUUUCAUGUUAUUACUUUUCAUGUUUUCUUUGUUUUGCUCGAGGACUAGCAAAAGCUAAGUGUGGGGGAAUUUGAUAGGAGCAUAUUUAUACGACUUAGUAUGUUUGUUUUCGUGCAUUUAUGUUCUUAGUUCUUAGUUAUGUUAGUAGUUUAAGCCAUUUUUGUGUGUUUGUAGGUUCUAUGGGCCAAGGAUGCAAGAAGAUGCAUUUUGGAGCAUUUUGGAGCAUUUUUGGGCCAAGAUUGGAUGGUGCAAACAUGGAGACAUGAGGAUGGACGAAUUUGAUGAUUCAAAGGGCUAGAAAUCUGCAUGUGUGUGUGCAAAGUGUUGGCCUACAACUUCAAACAUCAUAGCUACCAUGUGAUGGCAGAAAAUGUGUUUAUUGCUAGCUAAAUGGAUGAAGAACAUGUUUGUGCAAGUAUAAACACCACAUGGGCAGCAAGAAGGAAAGAAAACAGCAACACACACACCACAUGGGCAGCAAGGAAUCAGAAAUUAAAGCAUGGAAGAGUGGGAAGUGAUGAGGACAACACAAACACACACACACAUGCACACUCACGGCAAGAAGAAUGGAAUCAGCAAAGGGGAGUGAAUGGACAGCAGAAAAAGCAAAGAAAUUUGACCACUAUGAAGUGGAUUUCUUGUUAGUCUCCCACUUAUAGCUUUGGGUGGCUUUGGCAUGAUUAUUUCUAGGUGGAAAGAGCACAAAAACAGCACACACACAUGCAAAACAAAGCUGGCAGCAUCCUUUCUUCCCUUUGCCGUGAGAUUCUUGUGUCCAUUACCUUGCAAUUCUUUUCAUUUCCAACCUCUAUAUAAGCACCAUUCAGCUUUCAAGGA
rnacentral:lncRNA from 1 species